GACGAACGCUGGCGGCGUGCCUAAUACAUGCAAGUAGAACGCUGAAGGAGGAGCUUGCUUCUCUGGAUGAGUUGCGAACGGGUGAGUAACGCGUAGGUAACCUGCCUGGUAGCGGGGGAUAACUAUUGGAAACGAUAGCUAAUACCGCAUAAUAGUAGAUGUCGCAUGACAUUUGCUUAAAAGGUGCAAUUGCAUCACUACCAGAUGGACCUGCGUUGUAUUAGCUAGUUGGUGAGGUAACGGCUCACCAAGGCAACGAUACAUAGCCGACCUGAGAGGGGGAUCGGCCACACUGGGACGGUGACACGGCCCAUACGCCUACGGGAGGCAGCAGUAGGGCAUCUUCGGCAAUGGGCGGAAGUCUGACCGAGCAACGCCGCGUGAGUGAAGAAGGUUUUCGGAUCGUAAAGCUCUGUUGUAAGAGAAGAACGAGUGUGAGAGUGGAAAGUUCACACUGUGACGGUAUCUUACCAGAAAGGGACGGCUAACUACGUG
rnacentral:rRNA from 1 species